GGAGAGAAAUGAGAGACAUCACCAAGGCCUAAUAUAUGGAAUUCCUUUAGGGCAAAGGACAUAAAUCCGGAGACUAUCCUCACUGAAGAGACUUCUCUCCUGGCUGGGGAUUCAAAGGCUGACUCUCCCCAAUGGCUACAGCACUGACUUAGUUUCCUGGGGGAAGUGAGAGAUGAGGCUGGGAAGAAGGCAAGACUCUUACCUGCUGGAUUACAGUUCAGAAAGUAUCCUGUAGGCCAGGGGUUGGAAAACCAUAAGCCCACAGGCCCAAUCUGGCCUGCAGCCUGGUUUUGUAAAGUCUUAUUGGAAGUUAACCACCCACGCACAUUCAUUUACAUGCUGUCUGGCUGAUUCCACGCUACACCAGCAGAGCUGGUUAGCUACCGCAGAGACCAAAUGGCCCACAAAACCUAAAAUAUUCACUGUGUAGUCCUUUACAGAAAAAGUUUGCUUACCCCUGCUGCAGGCAAUGGGGAGCCACUAAAGGACUUUUACAUUUGCACUCUGCAGAGUGUGGAGGAUGGAUUGCAGAGCUGGACUCCAUUUCCUGGAUGAACUUGUCUGUUAGCUCCUUAAGCUUCUCAGAAUAGUUCAUAUCCUUCAGUCGAAGUUGAUACUCGGUCUCCAUUUUUAAUUCUUCCACACGAGUCUUCAGCUCCAACAUGACCUGAGCCUUUGGAAGAAGGACAGAGAGUCAAGAACACUCACGGUGGGGGUGAAUCCGUCUAGUAACAAGCACCUCUUCGGCAAAGCCCACUUCCCUUUCUCGCUUGAUCCCUCGACCAUCCUUAUCAAAGACCUUCCAGGUGAAAAGGCAGCCAUCGUCAGCAGCAGUCAGCAAGUAUUGGUCAUCGAAGGUGAGCAACAUCUGAAGAGAAAAAGAUCAGGGAGAGACAGCUUUCUGGGGCCACAAUGGACCAAGACUAAACUGGCUAUUGUGCAAGACCUCUCUCCAUGGCACCCUGGGCAAAACCUCACUGGGAGGAAGUCUCAAUGCUAGGUAAGAAGGAGACAGGAGCUCCUUACUGGGC